CCCUUAGAUGUCCUGGGCCGCACGCGCGCUACACUGAUGCAUUCAACGAGUUUUACCUUGGCCGAGAGGCCUGGGCAAUCUUUUAAACCUGCAUCGUGAUAGGGAUAGAUUAUUGCAAUUAUUAAUCUUGAACGAGGAAUUCCUAGUAAACGCAAAUCAUCAAUUUGCAUUGAUUACGUCCCUGCCCUUUGUACACACCGCCCGUCGCACCUACCGAUUGAAUGGUCCGGUGAAGCCUCGGGAUUGUGGCCAGUUCACUUUAUUGGGAGUUGGCUGUGAGAACUUGUCUAAACCUUAUCAUUUAGAGGAAGGUGAAGUCGUANCA
rnacentral:rRNA from 1 species